rnacentral:misc_RNA from 1 species
AACGCACAUUGCGCCCCUCGGUAUUCCGUGGGGCAUGCCUGUUCGAGCGUCAUUUCAAGGCUCAAGCAUUCUCUGCUUGGUGUUGGGCGUCUGUCCGCGCUCCGCGCAGGACUCGCCCCAAUGGCAUUGGCAGCCCAGGCCGUCCGACCCGCCCGCAGCACAUUGCGUCCGGCGAGUCGAGCGGCGGCCUCGAGCGUCCAGCAAGAACCCAUCUCAGUUUUGACCUCGGAUCAGGUAGGGAUACCCGCUGAACUUAA